rnacentral:rRNA from 1 species
UACAGAGGGUGCAAGCGUUGUUCGGAAUUACUGGGCGUAAAGCGCGUGUAGGCGGUUUGCAAGUCAGACGUGAAAUCCCUCAGCUUAACUGAGGAACUGCGUCUGAUACUGCCAGACUAGAGUGUCGGAGGGGAUGGUGGAAUUCCCGGUGUAGAGGUGAAAUUCGUAGAUAUCGGGAGGAACACCCGUGGCGAAGGCGACCAUCUGGAAGACACUGACGCUGAGACGCGAAAGCGUGGGUAGCAAACAGG